rnacentral:tRNA from 1 species
GUUAGGAUGGCUGAGUGGUCUAAGGCACAAAGCUUAAAGUGCCUUCCUCUCUUGAGGACUGGGUGUUCUGGUCUUCGUAUGGAGGCAUGGGUUCAAAUCCCACUUCUGACC